rnacentral:ncRNA from 1 species
CGAAGUAGGAUAUGGCGCGUUAAGUGGUCAGUGGAUGGGGAGUUGCCCUGAAACGAAGAACAGCAGCGUUUUCAGCUGUUCGCGGUGCCGUAUCCGCACCCGUUG